rnacentral:rRNA from 1 species
UACGUAGGUGGCAAGCGUUGUCCGGAUUUACUGGGCGUAAAGAGCGCGCAGGCGGCUGGGCAAGUCCGAUGUGAAAGCUUCCGGCUUAACUGGAAAAUUGCAUCGGAAACUGCUCGGCUUGAAGGUGGGAGAGGGUAGCGGAAUUCCCGGUGUAGUGGUGAAAUGCGUAGAUAUCGGGGAGGAACACCAGUGGCGAAGGCGGCUACCUGGCCCACUCUUGACGCUGAGGCGCGAAAAGCUAGGGGAGCAAACGGG